rnacentral:rRNA from 1 species
AUUUGACCUCAAAUCAGACAGGAUUACCCGCUGAACUUAAGCAUAUCAAUAAGCGGAGGAAAAGAAACCAACAGGGAUGGCUCUAGUAACGGCGAGUGAAGCAGCCAAAGCUCAAAUUUGAAAGCUCCUAACAAGGCGCAUUGUAAUUUGAAGAUGGUAUUCCGAGUUAGUCCUUUACCUCAGUUCCUUGGAACAGGACGCCAUAGAGGGUGAGAGCCCCGUGUGGUAUUGGUAGCUUUCUCAUGUGGUUUACCUUCGAAGAGUCGAGUUGUUUGGGAAAUGCA